rnacentral:rRNA from 1 species
UGCUGUGAGGCAUGCUGGAGGUAUCAGAAGUGCGAAUGCUGACAUAAGUAACGAUAAAGCGGGUGAAAAGCCCGCUCGCCGGAAGACCAAGGGUUCCUGUCCAACGUUAAUCGGGGCAGGGUGAGUCGACCCCUAAGGCGAGGCCGAAAGGCGUAGUCGAUGGGAAACAGGUUAAUAUUCCUGUACUUGGUGUUACCGCGAAGGGGGGACGGAGAAGGCUAUGUUGGCCGGGCGACGGUUGUCCCGGUUUAAGCGUGUAGGCUGGUUUUCCAGGCAAAUCCGGAAAAUCAAGGCUGAGGCGUGAUGACGAGGCACUACGGUGCUGAAGCAACAAAUGCCCUGCUUCCAGGAAAAGCCUCUAAGCAUCAGGUAACAUCAAAUCGUACCCCAAACCGACACAGGUGGUCAGGUAGAGAAUACCAAGGCGCUUGAGAGAACUCGGGUGAAGGAACUAGGCAAAAUGGUGCCGUAACUUCGGGAGAAGGCACGCUGAUAUGUAGGUGAAGUCCCUCGCGGAUGGAGCUGAAAUCAGUCGAAGAUACCAGCUGGCUGCAACUGUUUAUUAAAAACACAGCACUGUGCAAACACGAAAGUGGACGUAUACGGUGUGACGCCUGCCCGGUGCCGGAAGGUUAAUUGAUGGGGUCAGCGCAAGCGAAGCUCUUGAUCGAAGCCCCGGUAAACGGCGGCCGUAACUAUAACGGUCCUAAGGUAGCGAAAUUCCUUGUCGGGUAAGUUCCGACCUGCACGAAUGGCGUAAUGAUGGCCAGGCUGUCUCCACCCGAGACUCAGUGAAAUUGAACUCGCUGUGAAGAUGCAGUGUACCCGCGGCAAGACGGAAAGACCCCGUGAACCUUUACUAUAGCUUGACACUGAACAUUGAGCCUUGAUGUGUAGGAUAGGUGGGAGGCUUUGAAGUGUGGACGCCAGUCUGCAUGGAGCCGACCUUGAAAUACCACCCUUUAAUGUUUGAUGUUCUAACGUUGACCCGUGAUCCGGGUUGCGGACAGUGUCUGGUGGGUAGUUUGACUGGGGCGGUCUCCUCCUAAAGAGUAACGGAGGAGCACGAAGGUUGGCUAAUCCUGGUCGGACAUCAGGAGGUUAGUGCAAUGGCAUAAGCCAGCUUGACUGCGAGCGUGACGGCGCGAGCAGGUGCGAAAGCAGGUCAUAGUGAUCCGGUGGUUCUGAAUGGAAGGGCCAUCGCUCAACGGAUAAAAGGUACUCUGGGGAUAACAGGCUGAUACCGCCCAAGAGUUCAUAUCGACGGCGGUGUUUGGCACCUCGAUGUCGGCUCAUC